GAGUGAGGGAAGCUUCGUCUGUAUUUACAGCCACUCCCCUUUGCUCACAUUCCCGCCUGAGCUCCACCUUCUCAGAUCAGCAGCAGCAUUAGAUUCUCAUAGGAGAACGCACCCUGUUGUGAACCGUGCAUGUGAGGGAUCUAGGUUGUGCUGUCCUUAUGAGAAUCUAAUACCUAUUGAUCUGUCACUUUCUCCCAUCACGCUCAGGUGGGACCAUCCAGUUGCAGGAAAACAAGCUUAACACGCCCACUGAUUCUACAUUAUGCUCCUACCUCCCGGCAGCCUCUCCAGGCCCAGAACUCUCUCCAGUCAGCCUCUACAGACCAAGCUCAUGACUCACAAUGGCCUAUUUAGGCCCAUACCCUACCUCACGGCAGUCUCCGCAGAUGAGCCUACUGCCUCACAGCAGCCUCCACAGGCACAGCUCCAUCGUUACAAUGGCCUCUUUAGACCCAGCUCCUGCCUCCCAGCCUUCUCUCCAGGCCCCGAACUUUCUCCGGUCUCCCUCUGUUGUCCAAGGCUGGAGGGUAGUAGUGCUAUCACAGCUGACUGCAGCCUCAACCUUCCAGGCUGAAGCGAUCCUCCCAUCUCAACCUCCCACGUGGCUGAGAUUACAGGUGCUUGCCACUAUGCCCAACUAAUAUUUGGAAUUUUCGUAUACGUGGAUUCCAGAGGGGUGACAGCGAAACGUGGGACCAUCCAGUUGCAGGAAAACAAGCUUAACACGCCCACUGAUUCUACAUUAUGCUCCUACCUCCCGGCAGCCUCUCCAGGCCCAGAACUCUCUCCAGUCAGCCUCUACAGACCAAGCUCAUGACUCACAAUGGCCUAUUUAGGCCCAUACCCUACCUCACGGCAGUCUCCGCAGAUGAGCCUACUGCCUCACAGCAGCCUCCACAGGCACAGCUCCAUCGUUACAAUGGCCUCUUUAGACCCAGCUCCUGCCUCCCAGCCUUCUCUCCAGGCCCCGAACUUUCUCCGGUCUCCCUCUGUUGUCCAAGGCUGGAGGGUAGUAGUGCUAUCACAGCUGACUGCAGCCUCAACCUUCCAGGCUGAAGCGAUCCUCCCAUCUCAACCUCCCACGUGGCUGAGAUUACAGGUGCUUGCCACUAUGCCCAACUAAUAUUUGGAAUUUUCGUAUACGUGGAUUCCAGAGGGGUGACAGCGAAACGUGAGUGGGACCAUCCAGUUGCAGGAAAACAAGCUUAACACGCCCACUGAUUCUACAUUAUGCUCCUACCUCCCGGCAGCCUCUCCAGGCCCAGAACUCUCUCCAGUCAGCCUCUACAGACCAAGCUCAUGACUCACAGUGGCCUAUUUAGGCCCAUACCCUACCUCACGGCAGUCUCCGCAGAUGAGCCUACUGCCUCACAACAGCCUCCACAGGCACAGCUCCAUCGUUACAAUGGACUCUUUCGGCCCAGCCCAGCUCAUGCCUCCCGGCGGCCUUCCCAGGCCCCGCUUUUGACUUUCGGUGGCCUCUGCAGGCCUCGACAAGGCCCGGCCUCCUGCCUCCCGAAGACCUGCACAGGCCCAGCCUCUGCCUCACAGCGGACUCUCCACGCCCAGCUAGCUCUCGCCUCACUGCGGCCUCCGGAGUCCAAAGCUCCUGCCUCUCGGCCGCUUCAGCAGGCCCAGCUCCCGCCUGCCAGUGGCCUCUUCAGGCCCGUGGGGCUCAUUCCUCACAACAGCCUUUCCAGGCCCAGUUUUUCCCUUGCGGCGGCCUCUCCGGGCCGAGAACAUCCUCAAGUCGGCCUCUCCAGACCCACUUGCACCCUCCGGGCGUCCUCUCCGGGCCCAGCUCCUCUUCCUGGCUGCGUCUCCAGGCCCGACUCCUGCCUCUCAACGACCUCUUUGGACUCAUUGCCUACCCAUCUCCUGGCGGCCUUGGUCGGCCAACAGCUUCCUCAAGCCAAGCUCCCCAGGCCCAGGUCAGGCCUCACGGUGGCCUCUCCAGGAUGAGCUCCUGCCCUCCAAUGGCACCUGCAGGCCCCAAAUGGUCUCCGGUCGGUGGGCUCCUCCACGCCAAGCUUGGGCCUCCCGGCGACCUCUGCAGGCCCAAGUUGUCCUGAAGUCGGCAUCUCCCGGCCCUGCCUCCCAGCAAGUAAGCAAGCUCUUUUGGCUCAACUCCUGCCCAGCUCCCAACCGCCUUUGUAGGCCCCGAACUUUCUCCAGCCAAGUUCUUUGGGCCUCAUUCCAGCCGCCUGGUGGCCUGUACGGGCCCGGC